CAGUAGCCACGGUAAAACGAAGGGUGCAAGCGUUAAUCGGAAUUACUGGGCGUAAAGCGUGCGUAGGCGGUGAGUUAAGUCUGCUGUGAAAGCCCUGGGCUCAACCUGGGAAUUGCAGUGGAUACUGGGUCACUAGAGUGUGGUAGAGGAUAGUGGAAUUUCCGGUGUAGCAGUGAAAUGCGUAGAGAUCGGAAGGAACAUCUGUGGCGAAGGCGACUAUCUGGGACAACACUGACGCUGAGGCACGAAAGCGUGGGGAGUAAACAGGAUUAGAUACCCCUGUAGUCCAUGUCUCUUAUAC
rnacentral:rRNA from 1 species